UACGAAGGGGGCGAGCGUUGUUCGGAAUUACUGGGCGUAAAGCGCGCGCAGGCGGUCUUCCAAGUCAGUGGUGAAAGCCCGGAGCUCAACUCCGGAACUGCCAUUGAAACUGUGAGACUUGAGGAUGAGAGAGGUGAGUGGAAUUCCCAGUGUAGAGGUGAAAUUCGUAGAUAUUGGGAAGAACACCGGUGGCGAAGGCGGCUCACUGGCUCAUUUCUGACGCUCAGGCGCGACAGCGUGGGGAUCAAACAGG
rnacentral:rRNA from 1 species